UAUUAAAAAAACAAGCUGGACUGA
rnacentral:piRNA from 1 species